CACGUAGGAGGCGAGCGUUGUCCGGAAUCAUUGGGCGUAAAGAGCGCGCAGGCGGCUUGGCAAGUCGGGCGUGAAAUCCCGGGGCUCAACCCCGGGACUGCAUUCGAUACUGUCAGGCUAGAGGUAGGUAGGGGAGAUCGGAAUUCCUGGUGUAGCGGUGAAAUGCGCAGAUAUCAGGAGGAACACCGAUGGCGAAGGCAGGUCUCUGGAACGGUACUGACGCUGAGACGCGAAAGCGUGGGGAGCGAACAGG
rnacentral:rRNA from 1 species